ACUCAUUUGUGUAAAUAACACACACGGAUCGGCACAUACACCGGGGUGCUCUCAUGUGACUAAUUCGUAUGAAUAUUCUUCAUGCGAUAUCAAUAGCACACAGUUAAAGAGUCGGUGUCAUGGGAUCUGUGGAGGCAUAAC
rfam:Xenorhabdus innexi strain HGB1681 (deposited as PTA-6826 in the American Type Culture Collection) genome assembly, scaffold: XIS1_scaffold1